rnacentral:rRNA from 1 species
UACGAAGGUGGCUAGCGUUGCUCGGAAUGACUGGGCGUAAAGGGUGUGUAGGCGGUUCGUUAAGUCUGUCGUGAAAUCCCCGGGCUCAACCUGGGAAUGGCGAUGGAUACUGGCGAGCUAGAGUGUGUCAGAGGAUGGUGGAAUUCCCGGUGUAGCGGUGAAAUGCGUGGAGAUCGGGAGGAACAUCAGUGGCGAAGGCGGCCAUCUGGGACAACACUGACGCUGAAGCACGAAAGCGUGGGGAGCAAACAGG